UCUUAUGGACAGCCGUAUUUCUUUUUUGUAUAUAAUGCAUACUCUGUCUCCUGUGUGCUUAUCAUCUUCAUUUGAGUGAGUGGCUGUUCACUCACUUUGCACAUUUUAUGCCUCCUGCCACUGCUCCGGUGGGGUUUCUGAAUAUUCUCAUCUGAGCUCCUUUGUCGGGUUCCUAUGGCUAAACGAUCUUUUAUCAACUCCUCUUUCCAAAAGCCAAACUCGCAUGAAUCUGCUGUUUUACACAGCUUGGCAAUGUACUGAACAGCCAGUUGUUGAAGACAUCCCCUGCUGUGUCCAAGCAUCCAGGACCUGGAAUCAAGCUUUCUGCCAGGAUUGAGAGGAUGCAGAUGAGAAUCUUUUCCAGUGGCUGGUUGAGGUUGGAAUAAGGAUGAGAGCAGCAAGAUGGCUGGAAGCCAAAGCUGGCACAGAAUGUGGCUGCCUGCUUGUGAAGCAAGGAUCUGCAUGGAGAGAAAGCAAUGGGUUUGCAAACCAGGGCCCCAACCCAGGUGCAAGGGUCCAUCCACUUGGCUCCGGUUGCAAGACAGAGAGGCCAUAGGUGGGAGAAGUAACAUACAGUAGGCAUAUUGUGACGGGACAGAAGAUAAUCAUGUUAACAGUGGCCACUCCCAUCUUAAAAGGAGGAAAAAGAAAAUAAUAAUCUUGGAACUACUGGAGAAUUGGAGGGAGCGGUUAUAAGCUGUUUAUACAAAUAUCUUUAGAAGAGAUGUAAUUUAAAAAAAAUGGCAACAAUGUUUGAAGCUUUACAUUUUUUUAAAUGUGGCCUGCUUUUCAAACAUAUUAAUCUUUUAUGAAGUCAGUCUUGCUAUUGUGAGAUUACGCAAUCUUUUCUAUUCCAAACACUGGAGACAUUUAUGGAAGAUACAGCGUUUUGAGAAAUCUCCUUCCUGUGUCUCAAUAAGAUCUUGGAGGAGUGUGUUGGUCAACCACCUUUGCAGGUUUCCAUGCAGCUUUUUGAAGGGUACAAAGUGUCUCUCCAUUUUCCAGUGGUGAUAAAGGGUUUUCACCUUCGUCAAUGAAAUAUUUCUACUUUGCUUGUAUCAAUGUUAGGGUCAUUUGUAUAUCUCCGUGUAUCGGCUUGGGUUGCAACAACUAUGAUGAAGUUGGCAGUUGAGUCCUUAAACAUCUUCCCAUGAGAAGCUGAACAGGUGAUCCAGCCUCUCCAAUAGGUAUAUUCCAAUACUCCAACGGGCUCAUAUAGGUGUCUGUUAUCCAAGCUGAAUUUCGAAGAAUCCUUUUUACAGUUUGAACUGCUCUUCCAGC